GUCUUCGUGGUGUAGUGGACAGUACGCUCGACGCGUAACCGAGAGGUCCGUGGUUCGAUUCCCGGUGAAGGCA
rnacentral:tRNA from 1 species